rnacentral:rRNA from 1 species
UACAGAGGUCCCGAGCGUUGUUCGGAUUAACUGGGCGUAAAGGGUGUGUAGGAGGUUGGGUAAGUCGGAUGUGAAAUCUCACCGCUUAACGGUGAAACUGCAUUCGAUACUGCUUAACUCGAGGAUCGGAGGGGGGAGUGGAAUUCUUGGUGUAGCAGUGAAAUGCGUAGAUAUCAAGAGGAACACCAGCGGCGAAGGCGACUCCCUGGAAGAUUCCUGACUCUGAAACACGAAAGCUAGGGGAGCAAAC